rnacentral:rRNA from 1 species
UACGAAGGGGGCUAGCGUUGUUCGGAAUUCCUGGGCGUAAAGCGCGCGUAGGCGGAUAUUUAAGUCAGGGGUGAAAUCCCGGGGCUCAACCCUGGAACUGCCUUUGAUACUGGAUAUCUGGAGUUCGGGAGAGGUGAGUGGAAUUCCGAGUGUAGAGGUGAAAUUCGUAGAUAUUCGGAGGAACACCAGAAGCGAAGGCGGCUCACUGGCCCGAUACUGACGCUGAGGCGCGAAAGCGUGGGGAGCAAACAGG